GCCGCAGUUUAUCUGUGCUAAGGUAGCAUAAUAAUUUGUCUUCUAAUUUAAGUCUUGUAUGAAAGAUCACACAUUUGAUUUAUUAUUUUAACUCAAUAUAAUUAACUUAUCAUAAAUAUAAAAAGAUAUUUACAAAUAAAAAAGACGAUAAGACCCUAUUGAAUUUUACUUAAGUUUCACUGGGGCAGUACGUUAAAAAUUAUUUUAACCAUAUUUCCAAAUACAUCUAAUAAAAUUAAUUUUAAUAAUAUUACCAUAGGGAUAACAGCGCAAUAAUUUAUCAUAGAUCUUAUAAAAUAAAUUGAUUACGACCUCGAUGUUGAAUUAAUAUUCUUAUAAUCGCAAUAGAUUAAAAAGAAAGUCUGUUCGACUUUUAAAUAAUUACAUGAUUUGAGUUCAGACCGGU
rnacentral:rRNA from 1 species